rnacentral:rRNA from 1 species
GAGAGUUUGAUCCUGGCUCAGGAUGAACGCUAGCUACAGGCUUAACACAUGCAAGUCGAGGGGCAGCAUGGUCUUAGCUUGCUAAGGCCGAUGGCGACCGGCGCACGGGUGAGUAACACGUAUCCAACCUGCCGUCUACUCUUGGACAGCCUUCUGAAAGGAAGAUUAAUACAGGAUGGCAUCAUGAGUCCGCAUGUUCACAUGAUUAAAGGUAUUCCGGUAGACGAUGGGGAUGCGUUCCAUUAGAUAGUAGGCGGGGUAACGGCCCACCUAGUCUUCGAUGGAUAGGGGUUCUGAGAGGAAGGUCCCCCACAUUGGAACUGAGACACGGUCCAAACUCCUACGGGAGGCAGCAGUGAGGAAUAUUGGUCAAUGGGCGAGAGCCUGAACCAGCCAAGUAGCGUGAAGGAUGACUGCCCUAUGGGUUGUAAACUUCUUUUAUAAAGGAAUAAAGUCGGGUAUGGAUACCCGUUUGCAUGUACUUUAUGAAUAAGGAUCGGCUAACUCCGUGCCAGCAGCCGCGGUAAUACGGAGGAUCCGAGCGUUAUCCGGAUUUAUUGGGUUUAAAGGGAGCGUAGAUGGAUGUUUAAGUCAGUUGUGAAAGUUUGCGGCUCAACCGUAAAAUUGCAGUUGAUACUGGAUAUCUUGAGUGCAGUUGAGGCAGGCGGAAUUCGUGGUGUAGCGGUGAAAUGCUUAGAUAUCACGAAGAACUCCAAUUGCGAAGGCAGCCUGCUAAGCUGCAACUGACAUUGAGGCUCGAAAGUGUGGGUAUCAAACAGGAUUAGAUACCCUGGUAGUCCACACGGUAAACGAUGAAUACUCGCUGUUUGCGAUAUACUGCAAGCGGCCAAGCGAAAGCGUUAAGUAUUCCACCUGGGGAGUACGCCGGCAACGGUGAAACUCAAAGGAAUUGACGGGGGCCCGCACAAGCGGAGGAACAUGUGGUUUAAUUCGAUGAUACGCGAGGAACCUUACCCGGGCUUAAAUUGCAGAUGAAUUACGGUGAAAGCCGUAAGCCGCAAGGCAUCUGUGAAGGUGCUGCAUGGUUGUCGUCAGCUCGUGCCGUGAGGUGUCGGCUUAAGUGCCAUAACGAGCGCAACCCUUGUUGUCAGUUACUAACAGGUUCUGCUGAGGACUCUGACAAGACUGCCAUCGUAAGAUGUGAGGAAGGUGGGGAUGACGUCAGAUCAGCACGGCCCUUACGUCCGGGGCUACACACGUGUUACAAUGGGGGGUACAGAGGGCCGCUACCACGCGAGUGGAUGCCAAUCCCAAAAACCUCUCUCAGUUCGGACUGGAGUCUGCAACCCGACUCCACGAAGCUGGAUUCGCUAGUAAUCGCGCAUCAGCCACGGCGCGGUGAAUACGUUCCCGGGCCUUGUACACACCGCCCGUCAAGCCAUGGGAGCCGGGGGUACCUGAAGUGCGUAACCGCGAGGAGCGCCCUAGGGUAAAACUGGUGACUGGGGCUAAGUCGUAACAAGGUAGCCG